UCUUUUGACUGGUACUGUAUAUUGAAGAUAUCUCGUCCCCAUCCCCUUGCAUGGAAGGCAAGCCACCGAGGCCAGGCAGUGAUGGUGAGCAUCAUGACAUGAGCAUCAUGACAUGAGCAUCCUUUCCCCGAAUAUCAGUGCGCACUAAUUUUGCUCAGCUGCAGAUCAAAUUGCCUCUCGAGACCUACCACCACCCAGCUGGCUGCGCCCAAAAGAGCUACAAAGGAUGUCUACUGGUAACAGCAGCAGGGGAACAGCGGAGAAGAAUGGUACAGUAGCUGGCGUGAACAAGACAGUGGCAUCCGAGCCGAGCUAAACGCCGGGAAAUUACACCCCCUAAUUUGUCUUUUCGACUGGAACAACGACGUUCACUUCUAACGCUAUUUGGAUACAUUUUUGCACCCUUCAUCCUUGGUUUAGAUCAGUCUGUCCGGUGCAUCAUGCAGACAGGAGCUCACCUGCUUCUCUGUCUCAUCCUGCACUAUGUGGAAGGAUAGUGAACUACAGAACACAUUCUUGGCCAGCUCAGGGCCAACAUUCACGCCCAAACCACAGAAUGACAGUGUUCACUCCUCCCAACCGAGCCAAAUAAGGACUUCCCAUCCUACUAAAGCCCCAUCUCAUCUGUCCAGUACUGUACCCCUGACCACAUCCACACAGACAGAGCAAACGUUGCCCAGGGACACAGUGGAACUGGUAGCCCCCGUCGGCCCAGAGCCCCAAACUGCGGCGAGAAGGAACCAGACCCCCAAAGCCGUCACCCUCCCAGUAACCUAGGUCGUGUCACUUUCAACCAUCAUCAACGGCAGCCACACCUUAUCUGACGUACUUGCAGAGCCCCCUUCCAUCUGGCUGG